GACGAAGGAUGCAAGCGUUAUCCGGAUUCAUUGGGUUUAAAGGGAGCGUAGGCGGAUUGGUAAGUCAGUGGUGAAAUCUGUGGGCUUAACCCACAAACUGCCAUUGAUACUGCUGAUCUAGAGUACAGUUGCCGUUGGCGGAAUAUGACAUGUAGUGGUGAAAUACUUAGAUAUGUCAUAGAACACCGAUUGCGAAGGCAGCUAACGAAGCUGUAACUGACGCUGAGGCUCGAAAGUGCGGGGAUCAAACGGG
rnacentral:rRNA from 1 species